GGGGCGUUAGCUCAAUUGGUAGAGCUGCGGACUUUUAAUCCGUAGGUUCUGGGUUCGAGCCCCAGGCGCCCUA
rnacentral:tRNA from 1 species